rnacentral:rRNA from 1 species
UACCAGCACCCCGAGUGGUCGGGACGUUUAUUGGGCCUAAAGCAUCCGUAGCCGGUUCUACAAGUCUUCCGUUAAAUCCAGCUGCUUAACAGAUGGGCUGCGGAAGAUACUAUGGAGCUAGGAGGCGGGAGAGGCAAGCGGUACUCGAUGGGUAGGGGUAAAAUCCGUUGAUCCAUUGAAGACCACCAGUGGCGAAGGCGGCCCGCUGGGCAGUGGCUGACGCUGAAGCGCGACAGCGUGGGGAGCAAACAGG